UUAUACCUUGUAGGGUGUUGAUUUUGUGAGCAAGUAUUACGAACUUAUAUGUUCAGUGUUGUUCUUAUUAGCCGGAAUGGCUGCUGGAUAUCCAGGUGAUGAGUAUGUUGGUAUCGUGGGGUGUAUCUAUGUGACCUUGGUAUGGACAAAAGAGUCUGCUGAAUAAUAGGUGAGUUGUCGAGUGUUCGACUCCUAUGGUUCUUUUAUGUGUAGUCCGAGUUAUGGGCGCGUGAAGAGUAUUUCAUGUCUCUUAGUGGGCAAGUAAAGUACAUUCCAGGUGGCAGUAUGAGUAUAGACUCAGAAGGACUAAAUGACUGUGUAUUACGUAUAUGAUGGUGGAAGGUAUCUAUUGUAUUUUGAAGUAUUAGGAUGCUUAAGAAAGUGGACUCAGCUGAUGUGGAAAUAAAUGAGAGGUUUGCAGAGAAUGUCCGUGCUAGAUGAUCUGUCUAUUCACAAAAUUGUAAAUGACUAGAGUUUAAUUCUCUCUAUAAUGUUGUAAUUUCAUUAGAGUAAAAGUAUUAGGAUUAUGGAGCGUGUCCUGGUAUAUGGCUUCGAGCCAAGUUGGGGAGGUUGCUAUGGAUUAGCUGAUUGCACUGUUGUAUGCUAUAAUUGAUUCUGUUUCAAGGUAUGUUGGCGGAUCAGGUCUGGUCGUAGGAAUUGAUCCGAGAAUGGCGCGUGUGAAGAAAAAUUUUGAUAAGGGAUAUAUGAUGCUUCAUUGAUGUGAAGAAAUACUAGGAUGUUUUAAACUACUGUUGAUAAAGAAUUCU
rnacentral:lncRNA from 1 species